AUCUCAUAUCAAAUUUACACCAUAAAUUGAUAAGAUCACCGAAUCCCACCAUCGUUCGCCACAAUUGUCCUGCGUUUAGUUCUUGAGAGAAAAGAAAGAAAGCAGAGCAAAGCAAUCAUGGUGAUGAAAGUUUAUGGAGCCGUCUUCUCCACCGCGGCGAUGAGGGUCUUCGCUGCCCUCUACGAGAAGGACCUCGAGUUCGAGUUAGUCCCCGUCGACAUGCGAGCCGGCGAGCACAAGAAGGAGCACUUUCUCGCCAUCAACCCUUUUGGUCAAGUCCCGGCCUUUGAGGACGGAGAUGUGAAGCUAUUCGAAUCGAGGGCAAUUACUCAGUACAUUGCUCAUGUUUACGCGGGCAAGGGCACUCCGCUCGUCUAUGAGGGCAAACCCAUGGCAACGGUGGGCGUGUGGAUGGAGGUCGAGGCCCACCAGUUUGACCCCUUGGCGUCGAAGCUGCAGUGGGAGCUCGUGUACAAGCCGAAGUUCGGCAUGGCCACGGACGCUGCUGUAGUGGAGGAGAACGAGCCCAAGCUCGCCAAGGUCCUCGACGUCUACGAGGCCCGGCUGAGCCAGUCCAAGUACUUGGGCUGCGACUACUUCACCCUGGCUGACCUCCACCACCUCCCGACCAUGACUAACCUGAUGGGAACACCAUUGAAGAAGCUGUUCGAUGCUCGCCCCAAGGUGAGCGCUUGGGCGGCCGACAUCAUGGCCCGGCCUGCUUGGGCCAAGGUUCUUGCCAUGAGGAACCAGCAGUGAAUCAAAGGUUCUAGUCCAAGUUGUCUGGUGUUGGCGGCAAUAACAAUAGACCUUCUCUCUCUCUUUCUUCUAUGUGAGUUUUUAAUAUUUUUUUUCUUGUUCAUCCUGUCCUUCGUUUGCCUGAACUUUGGAGGAUUGUCUUCAAUCAUCAAAGUUGGAGACGAUGAUGAGGCUGAUGUCUUGUGAUUAUUGUCUGUGGUGAGCAAUAAAGACUUUGACUGAUAAAGAAAGCGUUAUGUUUCUAA